GACCCGUCUUGAACCAAGGAGUCUAGCAUGUACGCGAGUCAUUGGGUGCGAUUGUCUAAACCCAAAGGCGAAAUGAAAGUGAAAGCGCGCCUCGCGCGGGCUUAGGGAGGAUGGGCGAAGCGAUUCGUUCGUGUGUAGCCCCGCACUCCCGGGGCGUCUCGUUCUCAUUGCGAGAAGAGGCGCACCUAGAGCGUACACGCUGGGACCCGAAAGAUGGUGAACUAUGCCUGGUCAGGACGAAGUCAGGGGCAACCCUGAUGGAGGUCCGUAGCGAUUCUGACGUGCAAAUCGAUCGUCGGAACUGGGUAUAGGGGCGAAAGACUAAUCGACCAUCUAGUAGCUGGUUCCUUCCGA
rnacentral:rRNA from 1 species